UACGUAGGGUGCAAGCGUUGUCCGGAAUUAUUGGGCGUAAAGAGCUUGUAGGCGGUUUGUCGCGUCUGCUGUGAAAUUUCGGGGCUCAACCCCGAACUUGCAGUGGGUACGGGCAGACUAGAGUGUGGUAGGGGAGACUGGAAUUCCUGGUGUAGCGGUGAAAUGCGCAGAUAUCAGGAGGAACACCGAUGGCGAAGGCAGGUCUCUGGGCCAUAACUGACACUGAGAAGCGAAAGCAUGGGGAGCGAACAGG
rnacentral:rRNA from 1 species